GUCUUAAUAGUUUAAAAUAAAACAAUGAUUUUGUAAAUCAUAAAUAGAAUUAAUUAUCUUUAAAACA
rnacentral:tRNA from 1 species